rnacentral:lncRNA from 1 species
UUUUUUUUUUUUUUUUUUUUUUUUUUUUGCUUUCUCUUUUAGGUCUUUGAUCAUAGCUUACACAUGUUACUGCAUCUUACUUAUUCUGAAAUUUGAAAUAUUUUAUGUUUCAGUCUGUUGUUCUCUGUACUGACUUUGAAGCAUAACAACUAAAAUUUUUAUGGCUGCAUUUUUGUUUUACUUCAACUUAACGAUUUCCAAAUAUGGGUUGAAGACUCAUUUUCUACAGAAAGAAUGAUAGUUUGCUUUUUUCAAAUACAUAGAAGCCAUAUGAAAGUAUACCCUGAUGUCACUGCCGUUUUGGACAAUAUAAAAUGUAGAUUUGAGUUCCAGUGAUUUAAAAAUAUGUAGGAAGAUGUGAUCAUAUUCCUCACCCCAACCCCAGGAAGAUUCCCAACCUCCACCACUCCUGUCAUUUAUGUCAAAGUUUAAAAGGUUGGUAAAAUUUUUCUUCCUAUUUUUUUUUUAUGUUUGACUUAUUACUAUGCUUCAACAGCUGAUAACAGAGCACCACAGACUUCAAGGUUUUUUAAAAAAUAAUUUUCCCAUAAUUAUGGAGAAUGGGAAGUCUGAGAUCAGAGAUUAAAAAAGAAAUAAGUUUCUGGAAAAGGUGUUCUUCUGGCUCAUAUAAGAUUGCCUUAUCACUUUGUCCUCUCAUGGCCUUUCGGUCGUGAAUGUGCAGGGGGAAGUGGGGGUUAGGAACUUGGAGAACAGAGGGUGAAGGAGAAGUAGAGGGAAGGCGAUAAGAAAGGGAGAAAGAGGAUGCUGGUGGGAGAAGAAAAGGGAAACAAGUUAGGGAGCAGAAGAGGAAGGAGGAAACGAGUUUGCUCAAGAAGAGAAGGAUGGAGGGAAACUCUCUGGUUAUUAUGUCUGUCAUUCUGAAUUAAUGCUUACUGCAUCAUAGCCCCACCUUAUAUCCAGACGUCAGUUUGUUCUAAAUGUUUCCUUAGGGACCCAUUUCCAAAUACAGCAGCACUGGGUGCUAAGCCAUUUUUACAAAGAUCUUGGAGACACAAGAGUUAGUUGUAUAGCUAUGGCACAGAUACUUUUUCUUGAUUCUUGUACUAGAGGAUAUGAAGGUGUAGAUAUCCAACUUUCUACGACAAUGGUUGUUUUAACUCCAGCUUUCGGGACGCAGAUAAAGGGCAGUGUUCUGUGGGAUCAUUGUAAGGAGCUCUCUAGGAGGCUGAGAAGGACCUGAGUUUCAUAUGAAGCUGGUGAAUUUUGUACUUAAUUUCUCCUUCCCAAUUCAUUUCUCAUCUCUGGUAAUAUCUUAUAGUCUCUUUUCAGACUACUUAUACAUUAAAAAUCUAUAUAUUUUGAGUUAUAUUUAUUUUAUUAUCAUUUUUAAUUAAUCAUUUUAUUUGUUUUCAUUUCAAAUGAUAUCCCUCUUCCCGGUUGCCUCUCUGCAAACCUUCCAUCCCAUCCCCUUCUUUCCCCUUCCCUUUUGCCUCUAUGAGGGUGCUCCUCCACCCAUUCCUACCUCACCUUUCUAGUAUCCUCCUACUCUGGGGCAUCAAGCCUCCACAGGACUAAGAGCCUCCCUUCCCAUAGAUGUCAGAUAAGGCCAUCCUCUGCUAUAUAUGUAUCUGGAGCCAUGAAUCCCUCCCUGUAUACUCUAGUUGGCUGUUUACUCCCUGAGAGCUCUGGGUAGUCUGGUUAGUUGAUACUGUUGUUCUUCCUAAGCGAUUACAAUCCCCUUCAGUUCCUUCAGUCCUUUCCCUAGCUCUUCCAUUCGGGUCGCUGGACUCAGUUUGAUGGUUGGCUGAGAAUAUCUGCGACUCUAUAGCAUGACACCUUUAGCCUCUUUAUGAGACUGGUUUAGUAAUUCUGAUAAUAAAGACAUCUUCUCUGUAGUCACAUAGAAAUUUAUCAAUGUGUUUUAAUAUCAUCUAGUUCUAGCCUGUGCUUAAGUGCACUUUACUGUUUCUAAAAUAUCAUUCUAGGGUUGUUUUUUUUUUCAAACCUGGAUCCAGGCAAUUUCACAGUAUUGUUGAAUUUUCUUUUGAUUUCUCUUAAUCUAGAAUGGUCCUUUCUAAUUUUAAUAAUGCCAAUGACUCAUUAAAAACUGAGUCAGCUGUCUUAAACUAUGGCUUCUGGUAAUAUACAGACUAUUUCUCCAUUCUCUAUAACUCUUAUUAGCUAAAAUUCAGAUUUUUUAAAUUUGGAUUCACUAUCUUUGAUUUGGAUGCUUCAUACCUGAUACACAGUGUUUAUAUUUAUUGUCAAGUGGCACAUACAGCUGGUAAUCAUCAAUUGUCAUAGGUUUUGCUAUCCUAAAUGUCCCAUUGUAAAUUUCCCUCUUAUUUCUAUCAUGUAAGAGUUUUACAUUCUAUCACUGAGUGUUUGUUGCCUUUGUAAAAUUAUUUUUAAGAGUGACCACUGAGUAAUUUUCUGAUUCUAUCCUUAACAUUUAUUAGAUAGAAAUAUUCUAAAAGUAUUUCUUUAGACAUUCUUUUUAUUGGUACUGAUGUCCGUUUCAUACAGAUGAGAGCAGACACUCAUUUAUAGUUUUUUAUAAAGCACCAAUGAGGGUAAGCGAUUGAGGAUCUUGUUACCUUCAGCACUGACGUAAAUUGCAUUUCAUUUUGUUUUUGAUUCAGGAGUUUACAAUAGAAAUUUCAAGUUUUUAGUAAGGAGAAAAAAUAAGUAAAGUCAUCAGGAAUGAUGAUACAGUCAAGUUACUGUAUAUCUGAUUAGAAAUUCUUGAGUUAACAGAGCGUUUGUUUGUCAUAGGCUGUGUUUGAAUAGGAAAACAAAGGCAACUUUUAAUUUGAUAACAUUAAGAAUGAAAUUUCUAUAGCUUCUUAAAUUUCCAUUUUUUGCUUUAGUGAAAUAUUUUUUCAGUUCUUUGUUUAUUCUUUAAAGACACUGUGAUGUCCAUGUCUAAGUGAUAAUUUUCUUAGCAUGGUGGUGGUUGUGUGUGUCUUUCUUCCCAGAACAUGAGAGGUGAAGGGAGGAAGAUCUAUGUAAGUUCAAGGCCAGCCUGAUCUACACUGUGAGUUCUUAUAUAGGGCUAUAUAGGAAAACCCUGUCUCAAAAUAAAUAAAUAAAU